rnacentral:rRNA from 1 species
GGUUAAGCGACUAAGCGUACACGGUGGAUGCCCUGGCAGUCAGAGGCGAUGAAGGACGUGCUAAUCUGCGAAAAGCGUCGGUAAGGUGAUAUGAACCGUUAUAACCGGCGAUGUCCGAAUGGGGAAACCCAGUGCAAUUCGUUGCACUAUCGUUAACUGAAUACAUAGGUUAACGAGGCGAACCGGGGGAACUGAAACAUCUAAGUACCCCGAGGAAAAGAAAUCAACCGAGAUUCCCCCAGUAGCGGCGAGCGAACGGGGAGCAGCCCAGAGUCUGAAUCAGCUUGUGUGUUAGUGGAACGGUCUGGAAAGUCCGACGGUACAGGGUGAUAGUCCCGUACACCAAAAUGCACAGGUUGUGAACUCGAAGAGUAGGGCGGGACACGUGGUAUCCUGUCUGAAUAUGGGGGGACCAUCCUCCAAGGCUAAAUACUCCUGACUGACCGAUAGUGAACCAGUACCGUGAGGGAAAGGCGAAAAGAACCCCGGCGAGGGGAGUGAAAAAGAACCUGAAACCGUGUACGUACAAGCAGUGGGAGCACCUUCGGGUGUGACUGCGUACCUUUUGUAUAAUGGGUCAGCGACUUAUAUUCUGUAGCAAGGUUAACCGUAUAGGGGAGCCGCAGGGAAACCGAGUCUUAACUGGGCGUUAAGUUGCAGGGUAUAGACCCGAAACCCGGUGAUCUAGCCAUGGGCAGGUUGAAGGUUGGGUAACACUAACUGGAGGACCGAACCGACUAAUGUUGAAAAAUUAGCGGAUGACUUGUGGCUGGGGGUGAAAGGCCAAUCAAACCGGGAGAUAGCUGGUUCUCCCCGAAAGCUAUUUAGGUAGCGCCUCGUGAAUUCAUCUUCGGGGGUAGAGCACUGUUUCGGCUAGGGGGUCAUCCCGACUUACCAACCCGAUGCAAACUACGAAUACCGAAGAAUGUUAUCACGGGAGACACACGGCGGGUGCUAACGUCCGUCGUGAAGAGGGAAACAACCCAGACCGCCAGCUAAGGUCCCAAAGUCAUGGUUAAGUGGGAAACGAUGUGGGAAGGCACAGACAGCCAGGAUGUUGGCUUAGAAGCAGCCAUCAUUUAAAGAAAGCGUAAUAGCUCACUGGUCGAGUCGGCCUGCGCGGAAGAUGUAACGGGGCUAAACCAUGCACCGAAGCUGCGGCAGCGACACUAUGUGUUGUUGGGUAGGGGAGCGUUCUGUAAGCCUGCGAAGGUGUGCUGUGAGGCAUGCUGGAGGUAUCAGAAGUGCGAAUGCUGACAUAAGUAACGAUAAAGCGGGUGAAAAGCCCGCUCGCCGGAAGACCAAGGGUUCCUGUCCAACGUUAAUCGGGGCAGGGUGAGUCGACCCCUAAGGCGAGGCCGAAAGGCGUAGUCGAUGGGAAACAGGUUAAUAUUCCUGUACUUGGUGUUACUGCGAAGGGGGGACGGAGAAGGCUAUGUUAGCCGGGCGACGGUUGUCCCGGUUUAAGCAUGUAGGCUGGUUGUCCAGGCAAAUCCGGAUAAUCAAGGCUGAGGUGUGAUGACGAGGCACUACGGUGCUGAAGUAACAAAUGCCCUGCUUCCAGGAAAAGCCUCUAAGCAUCAGGUAACAUCAAAUCGUACCCCAAACCGACACAGGUGGUCAGGUAGAGAAUACCAAGGCGCUUGAGAGAACUCGGGUGAAGGAACUAGGCAAAAUGGUGCCGUAACUUCGGGAGAAGGCACGCUGGUGUGUAGGUGAAGCCCCUGCGGGUGGAGCUGAGACCAGUCGAAGAUACCAGCUGGCUGCAACUGUUUAUUAAAAACACAGCACUGUGCAAACACGAAAGUGGACGUAUACGGUGUGACGCCUGCCCGGUGCCGGAAGGUUAAUUGAUGGGGUUAUCCGUAAGGAGAAGCUCUUGAUCGAAGCCCCGGUAAACGGCGGCCGUAACUAUAACGGUCCUAAGGUAGCGAAAUUCCUUGUCGGGUAAGUUCCGACCUGCACGAAUGGCGUAAUGAUGGCCAGGCUGUCUCCACCCGAGACUCAGUGAAAUUGAACUCGCUGUGAAGAUGCAGUGUACCCGCGGCAAGACGGAAAGACCCCGUGAACCUUUACUAUAGCUUGACACUGAACAUUGAGCCUUGAUGUGUAGGAUAGGUGGGAGGCUUUGAAGCGUGGACGCCAGUCUGCGUGGAGCCAACCUUGAAAUACCACCCUUUAAUGUUUGAUGUUCUAACGUUGGCCCCUUAUCGGGGUUGCGGACAGUGUCUGGUGGGUAGUUUGACUGGGGCGGUCUCCUCCCAAAGCGUAACGGAGGAGCACGAAGGUUAGCUAAUCCUGGUCGGACAUCAGGAGGUUAGUGCAAUGGCAUAAGCUAGCUUGACUGCGAGCGUGACGGCGCGAGCAGGUGCGAAAGCAGGUCAUAGUGAUCCGGUGGUUCUGAAUGGAAGGGCCAUCGCUCAACGGAUAAAAGGUACUCCGGGGAUAACAGGCUGAUACCGCCCAAGAGUUCAUAUCGACGGCGGUGUUUGGCACCUCGAUGUCGGCUCAUCACAUCCUGGGGCUGAAGUAGGUCCCAAGGGUAUGGCUGUUCGCCAUUUAAAGUGGUACGCGAGCUGGGUUUAGAACGUCGUGAGACAGUUCGGUCCCUAUCUGCCGUGGGCGCUGGAGAAUUGAGGGGGGCUGCUCCUAGUACGAGAGGACCGGAGUGGACGCAUCACUGGUGUUCGGGUUGUCAUGCCAAUGGCACUGCCCGGUAGCUAAAUGCGGAAGAGAUAAGUGCUGAAAGCAUCUAAGCACGAAACUUGCCCCGAGAUGAGUUCUCCCUGAGACUUUAAGUCUCCUGAAGGAACGUUAAAGACGAUGACGUUGAUAGGCCGGGUGUGUAAGCGCAGCGAUGCGUUGAGCUAACCGGUACUAAUGAACCGUGAGGCUUAACCUU